CAUCACUCGUAUUUUUCUCAAUCUCCACACUUUUUUUCUUUUCAACUUCACCAUUCUUUUCGUUAUUUUCAACUUCUUCCUUUUCACUCCACUCCCCCACUUCACCAUCAAUAUUUUCCUCCACUAUUUCCUCCUUUUCUUUCUCAUCUCUUUUUUUAUUCUCACUACUCAACUCCCUCCCACUUCUCGUCAUGGUCGCCUUACAAUGUGCAUUAGGAUUUGUUUGCGUGUUUGCCGAAAAGGAAGGACCGGUUUGUUGUUCCGCGAGUUGCUUAGC
rnacentral:lncRNA from 1 species